rnacentral:lncRNA from 1 species
AAGCUCCUUGAUAUUAAGUUUAUUUGAAAGUGCUAGCCACAGCAAAUAUUUGAUUUUUAAUAGUAGUUUACUCUUCCAAAUCAACUUGGCCAUAGACCACUUCAUACCUCUAGAGAUAAGAAAGUUAUAUAAGGAACAUGAAGAAAAGUUGUCUAAAGGUUCUAACUGCCAAAUAAUUUUCUUGCUUAACAAUUGGAGUCAGAGUGGUAGGUCGAAUGCCCCAAGUUCCUCGUCUAUUAUUGAAAAAGGAGGCCCCA